CAAGUCGAGCGGCAGCAGCUCCUUCGGGGGGCUGGCGAGCGGCGGACGGGUGAGUAAUGCAUGGGAACUUACCCAGUAGUGGGGGAUAGCCCGGGGAAACCCGGAUUAAUACCGCAUACGCCCUGAGGGGGAAAGCGGGCUCCGGCUCGCGCUAUUGGAUGGGCCCAUGUCGGAUUAGUUUGUUGGUGAGGUAAUGGCUUACCAAGGCGACGAUCCGUAGCUGGUCUGAGAGGAUGAUCAGCCACACCGGGACUGAGACACGGCCCGGACUCCUACGGGAGGCAGCAGUGGGGAAUAUUGGACAAUGGGGGCAACCCUGAUCCAGCCAUGCCGCGUGUGUGAAGAAGGCCCUAGGGUUGUAAAGCACUUUCAGCAGGGAGGAAAAGCUGUCGGUUAAUACCCGCCAGUGUUGACGUUACCUGCAGAAGAAGCACCGGCUAACUCCGUGCCAGCAGCCGCGGUAAUACGGAGGGUGCAAGCGUUAAUCGGAAUUACUGGGCGUAAAGGGCGCGUAGGCGGUUUGAUAAGCGGGUUGUGAAAGCCCCGGGCUCAACCUGGGAAUUGCAAUCCGAACUAUCAGGCUAGAGUGCAGCAGAG
rnacentral:rRNA from 1 species